CUGACACCCAUCCCAUUAGCAUACAUCACCCGCAGGGUACCAUUAUUACAGAGCUGGUAGCUGUUCCGCACUUGAUCUGGAAGAAUGUUUCCAUGGUACUUUGCAGUCAUCAGUCUAAGGCUGCCUUCAAUUAGCACACAUACCAUGUGAAGUCACAGGUCAGAUCCACUGCAAAUCAAAGCCCAGGAUUCUUCAAGAAAAUCGAGAGAAGAAUCAACCUUCCCCAUCCUCAUGCUUUUACUGCUGACUGCAUCUGAUACCACCUCCACUCAAGAGAACUCUGAAGAGACUCAAACACAUGAGGGAGAUGGAGCCAGUGGAUGCCAAUAAUGUGUUUAUCUUCCCCAGUGGAAACUACACGAGUCAAUCAGACUUCUGACCUUUUCCUUUAUCGAAAAGUUACAGGAAGGAAAUGUGAGUCAGAGACUCCUUUUACAGAUACACUACUUCCUGAUUGUCUGGGCAAAGGAGCUGGCCUGGGUUGGCCUCUGAGAUGUCAGCUUUUGGGGCAGUGAGCAAGUGUGUACCUGUCGCUCCUGUGACUCCAGCCAUCAUGCAGAAGGACAGAAUCUACAUCAUUAAUCAUUUGGCAGAGCAGAAAUAGAGUCAUUGAAACAGGCUCUGCUGUGGGAUAAUAGUCCAGAAAUGUCACCAUUUAUCUACAGAGAGGACACUUUUAUCCUCUGACAACAGGCUAGCCCACCGACAUUGUAUCUUAAUUAAAAGAAAAAUUAAUCAGCACAA